rnacentral:rRNA from 1 species
CCAAAGAACUUAGCAGAGAUGCUUUGGUGCCUUCGGGAACUCUGAGACAGGUGCUGCAUGGCUGUCGUCAGCUCGUGUUGUGAAAUGUUGGGUUAAGUCCCGCAACGAGCGCAACCCUUAUCCUUUGUUGCCAGCGGUCCGGCCGGGAACUCAAAGGAGACUGCCAGUGAUAAACUGGAGGAAGGUGGGGAUGACGUCAAGUCAUCAUGGCCCUUACGAGUAGGGCUACACACGUGCUACAAUGGCGCAUACAAAGAGAAGCGACCUCGCGAGAGCAAGCGGACCUCAUAAAGUGCGUCGUAGUCCGGAUUGGAGUCUGCAACUCGACUCCAUGAAGUCGGAAUCGCUAGUAAUCGUAGAUCAGAAUGCUACGGUGAAUACGUUCCCGGGCCUUGUACACACCGCCCGUCACACCAUGGGAGUGGGUUGCAAAAGAAGUAGGUAGCUUAACCUUCGGGAGGGCGCUUACCACUUUGUGAUUCAUGACUGGGGUGAAGUCGUAACAAGGUAAGCGUAGCGAG